rnacentral:rRNA from 1 species
UACGUAGGGCGCAAGCGUUGUCCGGAAUUAUUGGGCGUAAAGGGCGCGUAGGCGGCCUGGCAAGUGGAAGGUGAAAUCCCUCGGCUUAACCGAGGAACUGCCCUCCAAACUGCUUGGCUUGAGACCGGGAGAGGUGAGUGGAAUUCCCAGUGUAGCGGUGAAAUGCGUAGAUAUUGGGAGGAACACCAGUGGCGAAGGCGGCUCACUGGACCGGUACUGACGCUGAGGCACGAAGGCCAGGGGAGCAAACGGG